rnacentral:misc_RNA from 1 species
GGAAAACCCAAACUAGCUGCACUUUUCAAUUCAAGAUCCGAAUUAUCCAUUCAAUUUCUUUCAAAAAACUUCAGAAUGUUGGAUUUUGAAUCAAGAAAGAUGGGUUUAAAGGUGAGUGCUUCCCAAAAAUUGGAAGAGAAGAAUGUACCGGAGUCGGGUAGCCAAUGGGGGAAAGUGUCGGCAGUGUUGUUUGAUAUGGAUGGUGUGCUCUGCAAUAGUGAGGAAUCGUCAAGAAAAGCGGCUGUUGAUGUUUUUGCUGAGAUGGGUGUUCAAGUAACCGUUGAAGACUUUGUGCCUUUCAUGGGCAUGGGUGAAGCAAACUUCUUAGGUGGUGUUGCUGCUGCUAAGGGUGUUGAAGGAUUUGAUACCGAGGCUGCAAAGAAGAGGUUCUUUGAGAUAUAUUUAUCAAAGUAUGCAAAACCGAAUUCUGGCAUUGGUUUCCCUGGUGCCUUUGAACUUGUCUCUCAGUGUAAAAGCAGUGGUCUCAAAGUUGCUGUUGCAUCUAG